UACAGAGGUCUCAAGCGUUGUUCGGAUUCAUUGGGCGUAAAGGGCGCGUAGGCGGCGGGGUAAGUCGGGUGUGAAAUCUCAGAGCUCAACUCUGAAACUGCACUCGAUACUGCUCUGCUUGAGGACUGGAGAGGAGACUGGAAUUCACGGUGUAGCAGUGAAAUGCGUAGAUAUCAGGAGGAACACCGAUGGCGAAGGCAGCUCGCUGGGACGGUACUGACGCUGAGACGCGAAAGCGUGGGGAGCGAACAGG
rnacentral:rRNA from 1 species